GAUGAACGCUGGCGGCGUGCCUAAUACAUGCAAGUCGAGCGAACGGACGAGAAGCUUGCUUCUCUGAUGUUAGCGGCGGACGGGUGAGUAACACGUGGAUAACCUACCUAUAAGACUGGGAUAACUUCGGGAAACCGGAGCUAAUACCGGAUAAUAUUUUGAACCGCAUGGUUAAAAAGUGAAAGACGGUCUUGCUGUCACUUAUAGAUGGAUCCGCGCUGCAUUAGCUAGUUGGUAAGGUAACGGCUUACCAAGGCAACGAUGCAUAGCCGACCUGAGAGGGUGAUCGGCCACACUGGAACUGAGACACGGUCCAGACUCCUAAGGGAGGCAGCAGUAGGGAAUCUUCCGCAAUGGGCGAAAGCCUGACGGAGCAACGCAGCGUGAGUGAUGAAAGUCUUCGGAUCGUAAAACUCUGUUAUUAGGGAAGAACAUAUGUGUAAGUAACUGUGCACAUCUUGACGGUACCUAAUCAGAAAGCCACGGCUAACUACGUG
rnacentral:rRNA from 1 species